GACGAACGCUGGCGGCGUGCUUAACACAUGCAAGUCGAACGGAAAGGCCCUGCUUUUGUGGGGUGCUCGAGUGGCGAACGGGUGAGUAACACGUGAGUAACCUGCCCUUGACUUUGGGAUAACUUCAGGAAACUGGGGCUAAUACCGGAUAGGAGCUCCUGCUGCAUGGUGGGGGUUGGAAAGUUUCGGCGGUUGGGGAUGGAUUCGCGGCUUAUCAGCUUGUUGGUGGGGUAGUGGCUUACCAAGGCUUUGACGGGUAGCCGGCCUGAGAGGGUGACCGGCCACAUUGGGCCUGAGGUACGGCCCAGACUCCUACGGGAGGCAGCAGGGGGGAAUAUUGCACAAUGGGCGGAAGCCUGAUGCAGCAACGCCGCGUGCGGGAUGACGGCCUUCGGGUUGUAAACCGCUUUCGCCUGUGACGAAGCGUGAGUGACGGUAAUGGGUAAAGAAGCACCGGCUAACUACGUG
rnacentral:rRNA from 1 species